rnacentral:rRNA from 1 species
UACGUAGGCAGCAAGCGUUGUUCGGAGUUACUGGGCGUAAAGAGCGUGUAGGCGGCCAGGUAGGUCCGCUGUGAAAACUCGAGGCUCAACCUCGAGAUGUCGGCGGAAACCAUCUGGCUAGAGUCCGGAAGAGGAGAGUGGAAUUCCUGGUGUAGCGGUGAAAUGCGCAGAUAUCAGGAAGAACACCCGUGGCGAAGGCGGCUCUCUGGGACGGUACUGACGCUGAGACGCGAAAGCGUGGGGAGCGAACAGG